CUGAGCUAGUGAUGAUAAAAGUUAUCCCUGUCUGAAUUUGAUCUUUCCUCUGUGGAAGCUUAACUCUGAGGCUCAG
ensembl:snoRNA